rnacentral:rRNA from 1 species
GAGUCGGACCUGCCCGGUGAAUUUUAAACGGCUGCAACGAGAGUUGUGCUAAGGUAGCGCGAUAAUUAGUCUCUUAAUUGGAGAAUGGUAUGAAUGGUUUGACGUGGAAUGACUGUCUCUUGAAAAUAUAAUUAAGUUUCCAUUUGAGUGAAAAGGCUUAAAUUUUUGUAAAAGACGAGAAGACCCUGUCGAGCUUAAAUUAAAAAUUUUUUAAUUAAAAAAUUUUUAAUUUUUAUUGGGGCAAUAUAAAUUGAUUUAACAAUUUAUUUUAAAAUAAAAAUCCUUUAUGAAAGAAUAAAGCAAAAGCUACCGCAGGGAUAACAGCGUUAUCCUUUUUGGGAGAUCGAAUUGAGGAAAGGGUUUGCGACCUCGAUGUUGGAUUAUAGAAACUUUAUGGUUGUAGCAGCUGUAAAAGUAAAACUGUUCGUUUUUUAAAUCUAUACAUGAUCUGAGUUUCCAGACCGGAG